rnacentral:rRNA from 1 species
GUACCCUAUUAUUAAAAUAUAAAUAUUAAAUUCUAGAUUAAUAUUAAAUAUAUUUAUGAAAUAAAAAUAAUUUGGCGGUAUUUUAGUCUAUUCAGAGGAAUUUGUUCUGUAAUCGAUAGUCCACGUUAUAUCUGACUUAUUUUAUUUAAUUUGUAUAUCGUUGUCAUUAGAAUAUUUUAUAAGAAAUAAUAAUUUUCUUUAAUUUAAGAUAAAAUUUUAUGUCAAAUCAAGGUGCAGUUUAUAUUUAAGUAGAAA